GAUGAACGCUGGCGGCGUGCCUAAUACAUGCAAGUCGAGCGAACGGACGAGAAGCUUGCUUCUCUGAUGUUAGCGGCGGACGGGUGAGUAACACGUGGAUAACCUACCUAUAAGACUGGGAUAACUUCGGGAAACCGGAGCUAAUACCGGAUAAUAUUUUGAACCGCAUGGUUCAAAAGUGAAAGACGGUCUUGCUGUCACUUAUAGAUGGAUCCGCGCUGCAUUAGCUAGUUGGUAAGGUAACGGCUUACCAAGGCUACGAUGCAUAGCCGACCUGAGAGGGUGACCGGCAACAUUGGGACGGAGAUGAGGCCCAGACGCCUGCGGGAGGCAGCAGUGGGGAAUAUGGCACAAUGGGCGGAAGCAUGAUGCAGCAACGCCGCGUGCGGGAUGACGGCCUUCGGGUUGUAAACCGAUUUCGCCUGUGACGAAGCGUGAGUGACGGUAAUGGGUAAAGAAGCACCGGCUAACUACGUG
rnacentral:rRNA from 1 species